UGCGUGAGUUCCAAAUAUUUCUAACGGUCGCCCCAGCGUGAGUUUUUUUAUGCACGUGAUGUUAGAACGUUCUCUCCAUUCCAGAAUGUGAUUGUUAUGUAACAGUACAUUUAACCUGCGCUGCCCUCAAACCAAAGCACGCAGCCUGUUUUAUUUGUCAAUUUAAAAUUAUUUUCUAACAAGUUUUUUAUUUUCUAAUAACAGUUUGAAAUGAUGUGUGUUUCGCCUUAUUCAUUCACAUAAAAGUAGUCAUUUUUACUUUUGCGGACCAAUUAAUUUUUGGGACAUUUCUGACCCGGACAAAAUUCCCCAAACACUUCUCAAUUGUUUGUGCAGGACAUUUACUCAUCUGCCGUCCUGCAUACACGUGUUCAUAUUUUCCACCUGUCGCCUGCAUCGAAAUCAAAGUUGUUUUCGUUACCAAUAAUACCUUUGGUAAUGUGUGCGUUUCUAUCAAAGUGCCUUAAUACGUUAUAAUAGUUUCUGCAUGUCGUGUUAUGUCGUUUCUACUGUAACGUCAUGUUUUUAUGUACAUUCCUUAUAACCGCGGACAAGCGAUGUAACGUUACUCAUUUCAUAACAUUUAUGGUGUUAUACUCAAUGCUUAGGUAUCUAGCUACAUUCUCCUAUUAGCUCUGGAAAACAAUGCUAAUUUCGUCAGGGAAGUAUUAGCAUGUGUUGUAUUUCGAAGCUACCCUGGCCUUAUGACUCCCAAGUGGCACAGCGUCUCAGCGCUAGAAGCGUCACUACAGAGACCCAUCUUCAAAUCAAGACUGCGUUUCUAUCAAAGUGGUCCACCUUCCCUGUGGCCAACAUGGUUGCUGUAUGGACAGUGGAGAGGACUUGGACGUCUCGUUUGUCAUGCCACUUUACUGCCAGCUGUUAACAUUUCUUAUUUUGUAUAACGGGUCAUUUAGGAUGGUAGUAGCGUUGAUGAAAUGCAGUCAUAGCAGCAGAACUAGAAAGCAGUCUUUACUGUCACCAGGAAUGUGUACAUUUCACAAAUUGUGGUUGUCCCCCACUCCUGGCUCUCUCUUCUCCUGUAGCUCCAAGGCAUAGUGAUUGGUCUCUACUAUGUCUCCCACCAGCUCCUCUGUCAGAAACAACUUGAAGCACUCUGCCUCAGUUGGAAAUGGCAAGGGGCGUUGCACUCCAGACUGGGACUCAUCAACACAAUCAGCAGGGCCAGGAGGGGUGAAAUGGCUGGCAGCCUUCCAGCUACCACAGAACUCCUGUACUUCAUCCACUGUCAGUCUGCCACCAUCACCACCAGCAUCUUCAAAGGGACCUGGGACUUCGUCAGUGGACAAGGGAAAUUCAGAUUCAGGGUUCUCAGUGGCUACAAGGUUGGGGGGCAGCUCCUCACUCAGUCAGAAUCUGAUUCCUGACUUUCAUACUCUGACUCAUUGUCAGAAUUUUUAAAAAAUCUCCAUAAUUUCCACAUUUGUUUGUUGUCUCCUUUUGAAAGAUUGCUAAUGCUUCAGCUUAGCUCACUAGCUACAUACAUAAACAACAACACUGAAUGGUUUACAGUGAGAGGGUACGUGGUUGACUGCCGGCACGCGCCACUUGUAUCAAUAAAUCACUAUCAGAAAA